rnacentral:rRNA from 1 species
CAGCCUACGGGAGGAAGCAGUGAGGAAUAAUGGUAAAUGGGAGGGAGCCUGAACCAGCCAAGUCGCGUGAGGGAAGACGGUCCUAUGGAUUGUAAACCUCUUUAGGCGGGGAGCAAUGCCGGGCACGUGUGCCCGGAGGGAGAGUACCCGCAGAAUAAGCAUCGGCUAACUCCGGGCCAGCAGCCGCGGUAAUACGGAGGAUGCGAGCGUUAUCCGGAUUUAUUGGGCUUAAAGGGUGCGUAGGCGGAUUUUUAAGUCAGCGGUAAAAUGUCCGGGCUCAACCCGGGCCGGCCGUUGAAACUGGG